AAAACUAUUCUCAAAUGGUUCUGAACAGACGAUAAUAUAUGUUUGGGGUGUGUGUGUGUAUGUGUGUGAAGAGUAACAGUGAUACACACAACAAUUUGGAUGAAUUCCUAGAGAAUUUUGCUGAGUAAAAAAGGUAAUCCAAAAAGGUUACAUACUGCAUAAUUCCAUUUAUGAACAUGUUUAAAAUGACAAAAUUCUUGCCAGGGGUUAAGGAUGGGGCAGAAAGAAGGUAGGUAUGGCUGUAACGGCAGCAUGAGGGAUCCUGGUGGUGCUGACUGUACUAAAGGUUUGUCAGAUCAUAGUACUGUGGGCAAACGUGCUAAAGGGGGCGGGUGACUGUCUACAUAGUCUUUCAGAUUUUAAUCCUUUCCAUCAUUAUCAACAGAAUGAUUUCUGUAUCAUUGUCUAUAUUUUUAUUAUUUACUUAUUUUGAGACAGGGUCUUGCUCUGUCACCCAGGCUGGAGUGCAGAAAUAUGCUGUCUGAAUUGUUUCAUGUCUGUUUCCCUUUUUGCCUCUGACUCUCUCCAUCCACCCACCAUCUCCAUCUCCCAGCUGCACUGGGAGCACAGACUGUAUCUUUUUAAAAUGCUUCCCCCAUAACUGCUAGUUUUUUAUUUUAGUUGCUUUGCAAACUGAAUUUCCA
rnacentral:lncRNA from 1 species